rnacentral:tRNA from 1 species
GUCCGAGUGCUGAAAUUGGUAGACAGUGCAAAUUUAAGCUUUGCUGAUUAUAUAUCGUAGACGUUCAAGUCGUCUCUUGGAUACA